rnacentral:lncRNA from 1 species
GGCCCCCGCGGCUCGGACCCGGGCCGGCAGACAGGCCAUCCAUCAUCCGCCCUCCUCCCGCGGAGCGCCGCAGCCGCCGCGGCCAAUCCGGCGGCAGGUGGGGCCGCACCUGCGCGACAGCCCGCCGCUUCCCUCCGCUCCCUUCGCCGCGCCUCGCGUGCUAGCGGUGCCCUUGUGAGCCACUGCGUUCUCCAAGGCCAGAACGGGACAGAUGGAGAAAUUGAGAUGAGAGCUCAUCCACAAGAUUACCCAUCAAUGAGCACCAAUAGCAACCAAAUCCACUAGAAGACUGGGAGCUUUUAAGUCAAGAAACUUACAUCAGUAUCAUCAUUCCAAGAAGCGGUAUCCAAGCUGUUUUAUCGAAAGUGCGCAUGGGAGAUAAGACUCUGAGAAUUUAUAGAAACAAACAUUAGAAGGCAGGAAUGUGGAGAGAAGAAAGCUACCUGACAAGGGAAUCUCAGGAUACAAGGAAAACACCAAGGCUGUACAGGAAGCAUAGCAUCUUCUGCUUUGGGAGAGGCUUCAGGAAGCAUCCAAUCUUGGUGAAAGUUGAAAGGGGAGUGAAGUGCCUCACAUGAUGGGAGCAGGAGCAAGAGAGACUAAGGGGUAGGUGCUGCACACUUUUAAACAACCAAGUCUCAUGAGAACUCACUCACUAUCAUGAGAACAGCUCCAGGACCAUGGUGCCAAACCAUUCACAAGAAAUCCACUCAUAGGAUAGAACCACCUGCCACCAGGCCCCACCUCCAACAUUGGGGACCACAAUUUGACAUGAAAUUUGAUGGGGACACAGACCCAAACCAUAUCAAGGAGGGAAGGAGUUGGGUAAGGGUUGAUAAACUACCUGUGGGUAAUACGCUCAUUACCUGGGUGAUGGGAUCUGUACUCCAAACCCAAUAUGCCCAUGUAACAAAACUUACACGUACCCUCAUAUCUAAAAUAAACAUUGAAAUUAUUUUAAAAAAGAAAUUAUGUUAAAUGUUAUCAAAUGCUUUAUUUGUUUACAGAUUUUUUCUUUUAAUAUCUUACUGUGGUAAUAUAUUAAGUGUUAAUGUGUGGUAACAUGGUAACAUAUUAAAAAAUACAUUACAGUAACGGUAAC